rnacentral:rRNA from 1 species
UAAUACGGAGGGUGCGAGCGUUAUCCGGAAUCAUUGGGUUUAAAGGGUCCGCAGGCGGUCAAUUAAGUCAGAGGUGAAAUCCCAUAGCUUAACUAUGGAACUGCCUUUGAUACUGGUUGACUUGAGUUAUACGGAAGUAGAUAGAAUAAGUAGUGUAGCGGUGAAAUGCAUAGAUAUUACUUAGAAUACCGAUUGCGAAGGCAGUCUACUACGUAUAUACUGACGCUCAUGGACGAAAGCGUGGGGAGCGAACAGGAUUAGAUACCCUGGUAGUCCACGCCGUAAACGAUGGACACUAGUUGUUGGAAUUAUUCAGUGACUAAGCGAAAGUGAUAAGUGUCCCACCUGGGGAGUACGAUCGCAAGAUUG